GGUAUAGAGAGCUUGCUUUCUAGAGACCGGCGCACGGGUGCGUAACGCGUAUGCAAUCUACCUUUCACAGAGGGAUAGCCCAGAGAAAUUUGGAUUAAUACCUCAUAGUAUUAUAGAAUGGCAUCAUUUUAUAAUUAAAGAUUUAUCGGUGAAAGAUGAGCAUGCGUCCCAUUAGUUAGUUGGUAAGGUAACGGCUUACCAAGACUACGAUGGGUAGGGGUCCUGAGAGGGAGAUCCCCCACACUGGUACUGAGACACGGACCAGACUCCUACGGGAGGCAGCAGUGAGGAAUAUUGGACAAUGGGCGCAAGCCUGAUCCAGCCAUGCCGCGUGCAGGAUGACGGUCCUAUGGAUUGUAAACUGCUUUUAUACAGGAAGAAACCCUCCGACGUGUCGGAGCUUGACGGUACUGUAAGAAUAAGGAUCGGCUAACUCCGUGCCAGCAGCCGCGGUAAUACGGAGGAUCCAAGCGUUAUCCGGAAUCAUUGGGUUUAAAGGGUCCGUAGGCGGUCAGAUAAGUCAGUGGUGAAAGCCCAUCGCUCAACGGUGGAACGGCCAUUGAUACUGUCUGACUUGAAUUAUUAGGAAGUAACUAGAAUAUGUAGUGUAGCGGUGAAAUGCUUAGAGAUUACAUGGAAUACCAAUUGCGAAGGCAGGUUACUACUAAUGGAUUGACGCUGAUGGACGAAAGCGUGGGUAGCGAACAGGAUUAGAUACCCUGGCAGUCCACGCCGUAAACGAUGGAUACUAGCCGUUGGGAGCAAUCUCAGUGGCUAAGCGAAAGUGAUAAGUAUCCCACCUGGGGAGUACGUUCGCAAGAAUGAAACUCAAAGGAAUUGACG
rnacentral:rRNA from 1 species